GUCAGGUCUAGCAGGAGUUAAUGCAGAGUCAUUUAGUCAGGUCUAGCAGGAGUUAAUGCAGAGUCAUUUAGUCAGGUCUAGCAGGAGUUAAUGCAGAGUCAUUUAGUCAGGUCUAGCAGGAGUUAAUGCAGAGUCAUUUAGUCAGGUCUAGCAGGAGUUAAUGCAGAGUCAUUUAGUCAGGUCUAGCAGGAGUUAAUGCAGAGUCAUUUAGUCAGGUCUAGCAGGAGUUAAUGCAGAGUCAUUUAGUCAGGUCUAGGAGGAGUUAAUGCAGAGUCAUUUAGUCAGGUCUAGCAGGAGUUAAUGCAGAGUCAUUUAGUCAGGUCUAGGAGUUAAUGCAGAGUCAUUUAGUCAGGUCUAGGAGUUAAUGCAGAGUCAUUUAGUCAGGUCUAGGAGGAGUUAAUGCAGAGUCAUUUAGUCAGGUCUAGGAGGAGUUAAUGCAGAGUCAUUUAGUCAGGUCUAGGAGGAGUUAAUGCAGAGUCAUUUAGUCAGGUCUAGAAGGAGUUAAUGCAGAGUCAUUUAGUCAGGUCUAGGAGGAGUUAAUGCAGAGUCAUUUAGUCAGGUCUAGGAGUUAAUGCAGAGUCAUUUAGUCAGGUCUAGGAGGAGUUAAUGCAGAGUCAUUUAGUCAGGUCUAGGAGGAGUUAAUGCAGAGUCAUUUAGUCAGGUCUAGGAGGAGUUAAUGCAGAGUCAUUU